UCCCGUUUAGCUCAGCUGGUAGAGCGCGUCACUAGCAUAUGACCUGCAUUGGGCUGUCGGCGUAUCACAUGACGAGGUCAGUCAUCCAAGUCGGCUAAUGGGAA